rnacentral:lncRNA from 12 species
GGGCAAUAAAUUUUUCANCAAUAGAUUACAUUUUACAAUACAUUUACAUAGAAAACAUUUACUUUGUAAAAAUAAUAUCUCACAACAUCACUUUACUGUAUUUUUGAUCAAAUAAAUGCAGCCUCGGUGAGCAGAAGAGACUUCCUUCAAAAACAUAAAAAAUAACUCAUUAUAGAUAAAUUAAUAUUACAUUUUUAUUCAUGCAGGUUUUGUCGCUGAUUGCCAAGUGAAUCGUUAUGGAUUGAAAGGAAGCUCAAUCCGUCUGAGCAUCAGUCCCAGAAAUCAGUCACUAACUAAUGUUGGGUGGCAACGAUUCAACAGGAAAGAGAUGCUCACAGACGCAAAAGAAGUUUCCCCUCAUUUUGAGAAAAGAAUGAGCCUAAACGUCUCAGACAUGUCUUUGACCAUACACAACCUUGAGGAAAAUGACAGUGGACUGUAUGAAGUCAUUAAGAAGUGGGGGGUUGAACCUCUGGCUACAUUCACACUUACAGUGGAGAGUAAGAUCUAUGCAUCUCAUGUACACUGCAUGCUUAUAACAUGAUAUAUACUUCAUCAUCUCAGCUCAGAUGUUGCUGCUAACUCAUCUGUGGUGUUUUUCCAGGCACUGUCUCUAAGCCUGUAAUCAGAGUGAACCAAUAUGACACUAAUUCGUCUGCUGAAGUGUGUCGGGCCGCAGUGAACUGUUCAGCUGAUGGCAGCUGGGCCACGUUUGACUGCCACCAAAAUAUCUGUACAAAGAUACGAUCCUCUCCAUUCUCCAUUAACAUCACUGUCACUGCACUGGACAGCAGCGGCAUCGAAUGCAACGUCAACAACAACGCCAUGAAAAGCAGAAAAGUGAUUAUCGUUUUCUCCCAUCGCUCAUCUUCUGGAUCGUUGGCACCGUUUGUGGUGGUGUUUUGUUGGGUUUGGUUAUGGGUGGGAUUGUAGCAUUUGUCAAGAGAAGAAAAUGUUCAAAAGUUCAUCCACAGUCCAGUCGUGUUGUGAUUGAACAGCAUCAUGAAACAAUUUACUGCACCGUGGAAAAGCCGGCCACAUCCCAGACACAUCCAGGAAACAACACUGUCAGCAACAAAGUAGAAACCAUUUAUGACACUCCAUCACGACAUACCAAGGCUUGUCAAGUAGACAGUGUGGAGGUGAUGAGAGACAAUCAGGAGCAACAGCAAUCUGGACAAGACAGAACUAUUCAAGUAAAAGCUACAGUUCACCAGGCAGCAGAACCCGAUUCAGAUCCAAUAAACACUGUUUACUGCAAACUGGGAGAGAUAUGA